GGGCCGGCCAGCGGCCACUCGCAGUCAGUCAUUCAGUGUCAUUGCUAGGGUGCUCUUGCUGCUCGCCUUUCAAUUGGUGUUGCUGUGCGCCGCGUUCGCCGUCCACGACGACUCUGCCAUACGCACCCCAUUUACCGCGUCGACGACGUUGCCGACGACGUCAUUGCACUCGCCUCCACAGCCGCUGCCCUGGACCAAGAACCUACUGAGGAGACGCAGGUCGAGCCCAAGCCGCACAUCGCAGAAAACAACCUAGGCGCAGAAAUCAAGGUGCAGGAGCUGGACUCAUUUGAGUCGAGUGUGAAGCGGAGCGGGUGCGGCAUGAGCGGCGGUGGCGGCAGCAGCAAUAACAUGCUGUCGACGCUGGUGCUUCCGCAGGUGCCGCGAAGCGAUUUGUACAAACUGUAGACGUUCGGACUGGGCGAUGGCUUCUUCAACUUCAGCUGUGUUGCCAGUCUGCUCGGCGUCCUCCAACCAACGGACUACCUUGAUUCAGUUGAGUGGCAGUGUGACCGCUAAAGACCUGACCUCGUUCGCCAAGCAGUGUGGAAAAUGUCGCUAACCAGAUCCAGGAUGGAGCCACGGCUGGAAGACCAAAACUCGCAAACUCAUCAGCACCAAAUUUUGCCGCUCGAUACUAGAAGAGACGAGUUGGUGUACCAGCUGACGGCGCUGGAGGUGCAGUUGAUUCCGAUCGAGAAGUAGCAAAUCACGCAGAACAUGUCGCAUUUGAAGACGAUUCAAUACUUCGUCGGCAGCCAGGGCACCGCCAUCGCGCAAGAAAAAAUGCGGCAGUUCGUGGAGCGCAUCCUCAACUACGUGGCGCAGUUCCACGAGUACGUGCUCGACUCAAUGGCACCCUGUCGGCCGGUGUGCCCUGGCGACACGCCUCUGCGCCACAAACUUCUCUAGUCACCUCAUUGUAAUUGAAAAGAAAGUCGAUCACCAUUUAAUUCCCGAAGGGAAGACGUUGCUUCUAGCAUUCUAACUAAAUUAUAAAGUGAUUGCAAAUAAAAUUAAAAUAUUUUAUUUCAUCCGUUGCAUACCUCAAA